rnacentral:rRNA from 1 species
GACGAACGCUGGCGGCGUGCUUAACACAUGCAAGUCGAACGGAAAGGCCCUGCUUUUGUGGGGUGCUCGAGGGGCGAACGGGUGAGUAACCCGUGAGUAACCUGCCCUCGACUUUGGGGUAACUUCAGGAAACUGGGGCUAGUACCGGGUAGGGGCUCCUGCUGCACGGGGGGGGGUGGGAAGUUUCGGCGGUUUGGGAUGGACUCGCGGGUUAUGGGCUUGUUGGUGGGGUAGUGGCUUACGAAGGCUUUGACGGGUAGCCGGGCUGCGAGGGUGCCCGGCCACAGUGCGGCUGCGAUACGGCCCCGACUCCUGCGGGUGGCGGCAGUGGGGAAUAUUGCACAUUGGGCGGAGGCGUGAUGCAGCAACGCCGCGUCGGGGAGGACGGCCUUCGGGUUGUAGGCCGCUUUCGCCUGUGUCGCAGCGUGGGUGACGGUAAUGGGUAAAGAAGCACCGGCUAACUACGUG